UUAUUAUCCGUGUUCCUUGUUGGCUCGAAUAAAAUAAAUGUUUUUUGAGUCCUCCACGUAGGUAUAUCUAUUGUUACGGUGAUCCGGGUUGAAUAUGUAAAUGACAUAGUUCUCUUAACGCUUAAUGUGACAUUGUGUAUAGUAGGUAGAUGUCCGGUAUCAUUGAACGUCCAAGACGGUGUGGUGAUUAGUUUUUCCAAUCACGGACGGGACAUUGUUCUUCGUAUAUAUAAGAAUUGGGAUUAGGAUCAAACAGCAUUAUAGUCACAGCAGCUGACAACAUUCCUGUCUAGUGUCUCUAGAUUCGACGUUGUUGUUUUAACGAAACGGAUUUUGAAUACAUUUCAACAUGUUCAAACUGAUGUUGCUUUUCAUCGCCGCGGCAAUGCUCUUUGUAGCACCAGUUUCCGCAAAGCCUCAAGUUCUCGUCGACUACGGAUACUACGCGCCUGCCUACGUCGCAUCCUACAACACUCCCUUGGCCUACUCGUACCCAUACGCCUACGCUUACCCUUAUUCCUACCCGUUAGCGUAUUACUAAAUUACGAUUUUUAUAAACGAUUUUAUUUAAUCGCCAUCGUUAUGCAAUAAUUGUGUUUUUUAGUAGUAAUUUCAUUUUUCAUGGACCAAGUCGAAACGUAGCUUUACGCUGUGGGUGAUAUGUUUAUAUUUUAAAACAUAAUAAUACACACAAUAUAGUUAUAUACAUAUGAUCAGUGUUUAUUUCGCGCUAAUAAUAUUAAUGAAAAAAAAAAAAAUGUGAUGUCGAGAAAGAAAUCUAAAUAUUAUUUAUUUAUUCUUCAAGAUAUAAAUAUAAUAUAUACUUAAGUAAA